rnacentral:rRNA from 1 species
UACGGAGGAUGCGAGCGUUAUCCGGAUUUAUUGGGUUUAAAGGGUGCGUAGGCGGACUGUCAUGUCAGCGGUAAAAUUGAGAGGCUCAACCUCUUCCCGCCGUUGAAACUGGUGGUCUUGAGUGGAUGAGAAGUACGCGGAAUGCGUGGUGUAGCGGUGAAAUGCAUAGAUAUCACGCAGAACUCCGAUUGCGAAGGCAGCGUACCGGCAUCCAACUGACGCUGAGGCACGAAAGCGUGGGGAUCAAACAGG